UCGCCAUUUAGGGAAAAGUUAGCAACCACUCCAUCCCUUCUUUUUAUCUCAUCUGCUCACAGGAGCUCUCUAUCUCUCAGUGAUAGCAAGUUGUAGGGUUUUGUUGAUUGGUUAUGAGUUUUUUCAAUGGAAGUAGCAAAUGAGUCGAGCUCAGAAUCGCCAUCUUCUACGGUUUCGUUUCCCAGUAGCUUUGCGGAAUAGCCGUCUUCUUCAAAUGAGUUGAGCCCGAAAUUUAGUGCUAUUUGCUUCAUUUCACAGACGAGAUGCACAGCCUGUUGGAACAUGAUCCUCACCAUUUUCGCAUCAAUUUAUAUAUUAUUUCCUCGACUCUUUGCUUUGAUGAAAUCUAAAGCGGAAGUGAAAUUAUUUGCUGUUGACUACAAGAAAAGAUAUUAAAUUUAGUGAUGUCUACAGCUCCUUUAUGUGGUGUUGAUAUUUUGCAUAAUUCAAUUCAGAAUUUCGUCCAAGGAAUCCAAGAGAUGCACUCCUUUUUUAUUUUUUUUUAAAGUUUUUUUUUUAAUUUUUAUUUUUGCUUGUAAUAUAUGUAUUUUUAUAGAUCCUUAUAUUAUCAUCUGGUUGCAGAUUCUGUGUGAUUUUGUAAUAUAUGUAUAUAGAACCUUAUAUCAUAAUCUCUGGCUUAUACAAUGUUCCUGGUAAUUGCUUCAUCCCGUCAUUUUCAAUUUUUGAUUUCUUAGUUUUAGUCGUAUGAGUACUGGAUAUUUGUGGACUUGGGUUGUGCUUGAUUGCUUGUAAAUUGCAGAGCAUUCGCAUGAA